GCCCAUAGCUCAGUGGCUAGGGCGCCAGUCAUGUACACUGGAGCUGCUGGGUUUGAAUCCAGCCUGGGCC
rnacentral:tRNA from 1 species